rnacentral:rRNA from 1 species
CAGCCGCCACGGGAAUACAGAGGGUGCAAGCGUUAAUCGGAUUUACUGGGCGUAAAGGGCGCGUAGGUGGUUAUUUAAGUGAGAUGUGAAAGCCCCGGGCUUAACCUGGGAACUGCAUCUUAUACUGGGUAACUGGAGUGCAGUAGAGGGUAGUGGAAUUUCCGGUGUAGCGGUGAAAUGCGUAGAUAUCGGAAGGAACACCAGUGGCGAAGGCGGCUACCUGGACUGAGACUGACACUGAGGCGCGAGAGCGUGGGGAGCAAACAGGAUUAGAUACCCGGGUAGUCCCUGUCUCUUAUAC